AUGGAUUUUACCUUUAACAUCGUUAAAAGAUUAACGCACCUCAACUCUUCAGCCCGCGAGGCAGUAUCAAGAGCCGACGGAAACCGGCGAGCCGAGCCUUGCAAGCAAACUAUGCCUCUUGAAUCUAACAAAUACAGUUUAUUUCUUAUUCGGUCAUUUCAAAAACAUUUUGUGCUUCAUGAAGUGAUCAUAUAUGUUAUGCUUGAAAAGUUCAAUCAAGCGCUAGAAAGGCGAUCAAUCAGAAUUAUUACUUCAGACUUGAUGAAAUUUUCAUUUAUGGCUUUUACUCCUAUCAUUUUAUCACAUAGAAGGCAAAUUUUCAGUUGGUUUCUCUUCUUAUGCCCAUUCUAUCGUGAGUAUCAUGCUGUGGUUUCUAGUCUUGGUAAAAUGAGAAAGCUUGAUACUGCAUGGGUAUUGAUUGAUGUGGUGAGAUGAGAGGUGUUAAGACUGGUGUUUCUCUUGUUGUAUCGCUGACUUUGCUCGCCAUGAUUAGGAGAUAUUGCGCAGAGCAUGAUGUUGGCCUGGCUAUGAACACUUUUUAUGCAUAUAAGGUGCUUAAAUUUUAUAUGGGGAUUGACGAGUUUCAGAGUCUUCAUAUGCUUUUUGGCGCUACAAGAAUGUGCAAGAUGCUGAGCAGCUUAUGUUUUUUUUUCUCAGAAAGAGGUCUUCUCAUUUAACAUACAGAGCUUUGAGUUGGGAUAAUGUGUUCGGUAGUCUCAUCAGGCAGAGAGUACUGGGGGGAAUGUGCAAGAGGCGAGUGGCAUCUCGUGCUAACUCAGAGGCAGGUAAUCUUUAUAAGGUGAUCAACCUGUACAAUCAGAUGAAUAAGACGAGGAUUGAACCAGAUAGGAAGGUUUACAAUAAUUUAUCGAUGCUCUUGCAAAGUCUAGGCAUGUGAAGGGAGCUUAUUGCUCCUAAUACUUACACUUAGAAUUCUCAUCAAACCUUUAUGCAAGGCAAGAAAAACAUAUGAAGCUAUAGGUGUCUUUGAUGAGAUGUUAAUGUUCCUGAAUAGCUUCUUUCCAAAGGGUUCCUUCGUAUUCCGUCAUUGAGAAAUUUCAUUGUACAAUUUGUAAUAAUUAAUAAAUCAAAAUAACCAUUGGUUCCAUUAUAAAAAGUCAUUCCUCCAUUGCAAGAGGAGCAUAUUGGGAUUGUUUGAGCAACUCACGUAGCAUUGCCACACUCGGCUUAUACAAACUUAUCAUUCAUUCUUGCUUAUUCAGAGGAGAGGGGAAGAAGUUCUUGCACCAUUAGAGAAUAUGAGAAAGAUUGGCUGCCAGCCAAUUUCUGAUACCUACAUUAUGUUGAUUAGAAAAUUUUGUAGAUGAUGCAGGAUGAUGUCUUUUAAGUUGUGGAAUGAGAUGAGUGAGAAUGGCUUGGUCUUGAUCAUAGCUCAUACAUUGUGCUGAUACACGGGCUCUUUCUACAAGGAAAGUUGGAGGAACCCUACAAAUAUACACAGAUAUGAAGAGAAAAGAAUUAUUGUCAGAACCAAAGAUAGAUGAGAAGCACUGUAGUCUCUACUUGGUUAUCCAAUAAGCAAAUAGCUGAGUGGACAGAAUAAAAAAGAUGAUCGAUUGAUAUACUCAAUUAGGCUAGCAAACCAGAGCCAUCCCUAAGAUAAACAAUUAAAAGAAAGAUCUUCUUCAACAAGCUGAAACUAGAGUUGUAAGAGAGCGAGGAAUUCCCUUUCAGGUGCAGCAGGUUCUCAUGUAAUAUUAAGUUUAAACAACAGGUGGUUUGUGUAUGUUAACAACCUGCAGCAAAUGCAUCAUGGACUCAUAGUCAUACAGGUCCAACUAAAGUUUCUUUUCUAAUUUACAAAUAUAAGAUGCCUCGUUUUAUUCAAUCACUUAAAAGAAAUUAUGGUUUUUGAAUUCUCUUAUUUGUAUACCUUCUUCUUGUAAUAUAUUUUCAUAAAUAAUAGUACAGAAGAUAUUUAAUGCCGCUCUUCUGUUUCUCUCCUUUUCAACAGAUAUAUUUUUCUUGCUUGUGGUGUUAAGAUAUCUUCAGAGGGGCAAAAAUAGGGUUUAUUACAUUGCACAAAGAGCAUAUUCAAAAUACAGGCUUCAUUAAUGAAAUGGCAUGGCAACCAUUUUUGUGAUGUAUGGUGCAAAUAUUGUGUUGGAAUUUCUUGAAUUACCUGCCUUUGGGCCCUCUAUAGCAUCCAGUAGUAUAAAGAUACUAGAUGGCUACCAAUAUUUUGGGUUGAUAUCUGUUAACAGAAAAUCUCAUAGGACAUGAUUUUUAAGGUUCAGUACUGUCCAAUUCAGCCAUACAUCCAUAGGCUAAAGCAAUGUCUGCAAAUCAUUAACAUAUUUUUACUUGUGAGAAGUAUAAUUAUGACAGCAAUGACUUGUAUUAAUGAUAUUUUUGUGAUGCUGUUUUCUUCUGGUUGUCCCAUCCUGAACUGUGCUACCACUUAACAACCACUUGAAAGAUAUUGCAAUUUGGAAAACCAAACUACGGCCAAGGACAUUGUAAACAAAUAGGUCUGUAGGAAAAUUGUGUCUAUUCUCUAUUGAACAAGAGUAUUUAUAUACGGAUUAUAAGAUCUUGUUAAGGAAAUAAAUCACUUUCCUAAAAAUUCUCUCUCAAUCAAUUUGUAUCUUAGCCCUAUGAUUUUGCAACCUACUCGAAUUAUGUACAAAUUAUAUUCACGCUAUAACAGACAUCUUUUUGGCAAGGGGAAGUUAUUGGCAAGGGGAAGUUAUGGCUAAGAAAACUCAGAUGUGUGAUGUUUGCUUGAGCUAAUUUGCAUUGCAGUUGAAUUGGUUGGUAACCUUGCAGUUUCCUUGUCUAUUAACCUUGGAAUUAGUCUUCCAUAUGUUAAGAUGUUUUAAGGAUUACUAGCAAACUCUGUUUUACAAUUGACCAAAAAUAGGCGGUGCAUUUUCCAACAGUACAUAGAUGGGGUCAUAGACUAGAUUCAACCAAAAGUUGUGCCUAGUUUUAUGUAACUUGAGUGAUUCCUUGAUCUAGUCCGAAAAAAGAGUUUAGAGUCAUGGCCUACUAUUUGGGAUGAUAUUUAUUUAAAGAUUUUUUCAUAUUAAUGUUUUACCUUCAACUUGCCUCAUGUUGAUGUUUUAUUGUUAAACAUUUUUAAUCACAUCAGAUGCAUGCAAUUUUUAUGAGAAUAUGAACCAAGUUCUGUUCAAUUUGAUAGGAACACAUUGUUGAAAAGUAAAUUUGCACACGAUAGGUCAAUACAAAUGAACAAAACUGAAAUGAGAUGCCUUUACCGGGCUUUGAGACUCAAUUCUCUGGUGGGGAUAACGGUAUAAAUAUGUUAUAACCUAUAAAAAAUAGGACCUCCAAGAUCGUAACACGUGUAAACAUGAAUCGAAAGUUUUUUCAUCUGAUCGGAUCGGGCAAUAAGAAGUCCGACCUAUUGAAUACAAAGAAUGAGACCAGCAACACUUCUGAGUUUACCAAAGUCCAGAAUGGAUAGACUGAUCUCCUCAUAAGCCGAAAAAGACUAACAGGCCGACCUCCUCAAAAACCCGUACUACAACAAGACUUUGAACGCCGACGUGGCCGACCUCAGUAACCGAUGGGAUGAGUCCGGCAUAACCUGAUGAAGUCAGGGUAGAGAUGCCGACCUCCUAUGAGCUGUUAGUCUCCUUGAUACAGCACAAGGAUCAUAAGCGCGCAUGUAGAAGGUAUGAAUUGGCCAACUCUGCAUUUAUUGUCCUAUAGCCCAUCAUUAAUAUAUUGUCUAACACAUUUGCAUAAAAACAUUCCUCCCCCAUCAGAAAGCGACUGCAUCAACCUUAUUCAAAAGUAUUUAUACACUGAACUAAUCCUAAAAAAGGAUAUCUCCUUCUCUGGAAAAAGAGCUAUCUGAAUCCAAAACCACUCUUCUCUUCUCUUCUCUGUUUUACUUCUCUUGACUCCACUAAGUUUUCAGAUCUGACUUGAGUGUCGGAGGGUUUCCAUCGGGAACUCUCUCGGUAGAUCCCUGACCAUCUUCUUUAUCUUACAGGACCCCUUCCUCGAAGCCAAGCAUGGAGAGACCUAACGGACCGAUUACAGAUCGAUGAUCAACCCAGCGAAUCAGACAUCUGCUUAGGUGUCCUCAUUUGAACGCCCCGUUGGAUCUCAUUAUUAUCAAGUUGAUGUUGUCUGUGGGGACGAAGGAGACUAUCUUGUCGCUGGAGUUUCCAAACAAAACCCGUUGAGAUCUACAUGGAAAAUCAAGAAAAGCUAAUAGCCAAACAGCCAAAAAGGACCAAAGGGAAGAGAGAUAGUGAAAGACCCAAGAAUCACUAACGACAUUUAAAAACCAUACGGUGAAAGUCAAAAAAAGGCUGACGCCGAUGUGAGAAGGGAAUGCGACACAAGGUGAAAGAGAGGUGACAUGCGCGAGUUAAUCAAACUACACAGUUAUCUCUUUAGUUCAAAGUAUUUUUGUCAUCAUGCUGAAUAUAUGCUUCGGCAUGAUAAUAUUUUAGAAACAGCUUAAAAAGCUUUCGUCGGUGAUUAAUAUUGAUAUGUAUUCCUUAAAAAGGGUAUUAUUUGCUUAAGUAUGCUGCUAUGAGAAUUAAAAUCUGUAAAAUGAUUUAUGCAUGAGAAACAUAACUAUUUUGCAUUUAUUUGAAAUGUGAAACUAAAUAUCUUACUGUUUAAAUUAACAACGAGCAUUCUUGUUACAUAUACUCUAUGCAAGCUUUUAUUUUGCAGACAAAUUUUAAAAGGAAGAACAAGGCUAAUAAACCUGGAAGCUUCGGCCAUAAAACCAGAUGACUCCAAUGAGGUAGGUGAUCGGUCUCGGAAAUAAGACCGCCAACACCACAAAAUCGAUUGAGGAGAUGAAGACCUCAAAGAGGUAGGUGACCAGUCUCGGACGUAAGACUGUCGGCACCACAAAAUCAAUUGAGGAGAUGAAGAUCUCAAUGAGGUAGGUGACCAGUCUCGAAAAUAAGACUGAGGCAGGUGACCAAUCUCAGAAAUAAGACCGCCGGCACCACAAAACCAAUUGAGGAGAUGAAGACCUCAAUGAGGUAGGUGACCGAUCUCAGAAAUAAAACCACCGGCACCACAAAAUCGAUUGAGGAGAUGAAGACCUCAAUGAGGUAAGUGACCGGUAUCGGAAAUAAGACCGUAGGCACUACAAAGUCGGCUGAGAAAAUGAAGACCUCAAUGAGGUGGGUGACCAGUCUCGAAAAUAGACUGCUAGCACUACAAAACUGAUUGAGGAAAUAAAGACCUCAAUGAAGUGGGUGACCGAUCUCGAAAAUUGACCUACGGCACCAAAAAGCCGAGUUGAAGAAAAAGAAAUCCGAAAGCAAACCAGCGAGCCAAAGAGCUCGAAUGACAAAGAGAAAAAGCACUUCGAUGAGAUCCAGUGCCAAGUACCAGAAGGUCCACUCCAAAAGAAGUACGGAUUGACAACACACGAUGACAAGGGCUGAGCAUGCCGCACAAGAAACACAAGAAAAAGUCCAAAAUGCUCGGACUAAGGUCGGGGGCAAAAAGCUUGAAAUCUCCUUAAGAGCAAAUAGCCCGAAAUGAAGAAUCAGGCUUUGAGCCCUAAAAUGCUUAAUGGCAAAUAGCCCGGAGAAGCAAAAAUGCUCGGAAGAAGCUUGAGGGCAAAUAGUCCAAAAAGUGAAUAAGGGCAAAAAUAGUCUGAAACCGCUUAAGUGCAAAAUGUCCACAAGUUACGAAGAGCUAAAGAGCUUGAAAGAAAGAAUUAGUGCUAAAAAGCCUAGAGUAUCAUAUAGAAAGCCAAAAGAGCUCGGGCGAAAAGUCAAGGCUGAAGAACUCGGAAAAAGCUAAAAUGCUCGUAAAAAUAGUCAAGGCUAAAGAGUACGGAAUGAUAUAGAAAACCAAAGAGCUCGAAUGAACGUUCAGGGCUAGAGAGCCCAGCAAAGAGCCAAACUGCUCGUGAAACUAAUCAGUUGAAACGCUUAUUAAAAGACUCAGGGUUUAAAGCCCCGAAGAUGCCUCAGAGUAAAAUGCCCAGAAGAAGACCCAAAAUGGCAGACCAUUAAAGUCAGGUCCAAAAGGUAGGGCUAGAAGGGCAGAGCACCCAAGUCCGACCUUCCAAAAGAAAAAUCUACCAAGGUUAGACUUUCUAUGAAAAAGACCACCAAAAUCAGUUUUUCCAAAGGGAUGAUUAUCAAGAUAUAAAAUUUACUCUUUUGGUUCAGUCUAUGUUAAGUUGAGCAAUUCCAUUGAUUGCACUUCCUUUCGAAAUUCAUAAGCGUCAACCAAACAAACAGGUGGCGCGAAUUAGCAGGAUGGGUUCUCUUCUCCGACGAUCAUAAAUAACCAUCUAGAGAAGCGAAAGGGCAACUGAUAAUGUAUAAAAAAUAGAACCUCCCGAGAUCAUGAUACAUGCACACUGAAUCGAAAGCCUUUCCAUCUGGUCGGGUCGAGCAAUAAGAAGUCUAACCUAUUGAGUACAAAGAAUCAGACCAGCAACACUCCUCAGUUUACCAAAGCCCCAAAUGGACAGACCGACCUCCUUAAAAGUCUGUACUACAACAAGGUUUUGAACGCCGAUGUGGCCGACCUCAGUAAUCGAAAUGAGCUCAUUUCUAUCUAGGUUGGAUGAGUCUGGUACGACCUGAUGAAGUCAAGGUAAAGAUGCCGACCUCUUAUGAGCUGGUUAUCUUCUUGGUACGGCACAAGGAUCAUAAACGUGCAUGUAGAGGGUAUGAAUCGGCUAGCUUUGUAUUUAUUGUCCUGUAGUCCAUCAUUAAUGUACUGCCUGACACACCUACACAAAAGCAUUCCUACCCCAUCAGAAGGGGACACAACACAGGGGCAUCAACUUUAUUCAAAGGUAUUUAUACACCAAACUAAUCCUAAAAAAAGAAUCUAUUCCUCUCUAAAGAAAGGACUUAUCUCUCUCUCCAUCAUACAGAGGGAACCCGAAACUACUAUUCUCUUCUCAUCUCUUCUCUAUUUUACUUCCCUUAACUCCACUGAGUGAGUUCCCAGAUCUGAUUUGAGCGUUGGAGAGUUUCUACCGGAAACUCCUCUGGUGGACCUUUUGACCGUCUUCUUCCUCUUACAGAACCCCUUUCUCAAACCAAGCAUGGAGAGACACAACGGACCGAUCACAGAUCGAUAAUCAAUCCAGCGAAUGAGAUAUCUGGCUAGGUGUCCUCAUUUGGAUGCCCCCCAAAUCUCAGUAUUAUUAAGGUCCAUGCCUGAAUUUUGUGAAGCUUCAUUCAGGUCUAUCUCAGAUGAAUUACUGGAAUGUUUAUAUCACUGCUUUUCUUCAGUGCUUCAACUGUAGUUUUGUUAUGAACUAUGGAUAUAUUUACCUCAUUCUUGAUCAUGAUAUCUUCCUCAGACUUAAUAGAGAACAUAAAUGGUUAAAUUUUUAGAUAUCCUUUGAUGAAUACGAUACUUGUCGGGGGAAGAAAGGGAAGUAGUUUACUGGAUGUUUAUCUUCCACUUUAUUCUUCCUCCCUUCUCUUCAAGGGAGACUAUUCUCAGGCUUCUAUGAGAACCAAGUGUAUAGGUUACAGCCACCACUCAGUUCAUGUUCUUGUUGUGUUAUUAGACUUUCUAACGUCUGGAAAGGGAUAGGUCGAUAUUGUGGGUAUUAUGCACUUCUAGAUGGAGACCAUUCAGGCAUUUGCAUGCAGAACUAAAAUCAGACAUAAUUAAUUGAGGUUGAAUUGAUAAAUUUUUAUGCUUCCAUGAGCUAAUUUUGCUAUUUGUAUUGCAAUAGACAAACUGAAACAUGUGUUGACAUAGUGUUCAUUAAUAUGAAAUAUUGUGAUAAUGCACCAUUUUCCACAGAAACAGUUUACUUUCUACCAUGUUUUACUUUAGUUAAAUUCUUGUAUGUUAAUAGUGCAAGUAGGGACCAGCAAAAGAGUCAAACUAAUGGAAGUUUACAUCUGGAUUUUCAUUCUAACAGUUUUCACCUAAAGAACUCAUUAUUCCAUGCUUAGCCUCAAAGAUAUUGAUUCUCACUUUAGCUUAGUGUUCUGUAGCUGAGAGAGUAUAUAAUAAUCUAUAAACUGUAGACUCUCCAUGGAGUUCCACGUUAGGCCUAACUCACUGUAUAGUGUCUGGCAUGAGAAAUCUGGUGCAUUGCCAUUUGACAUGAGAUGCUACCUAGUUACUAGAUUAGGUGAACUGCACGUGGAAAACAACAGGAUAACACAAAUAAAACAUUUUCAUUCUUGAAUAUCUGCUAGCUUUGCACGUCCAUACCUCUUGACUGGUCUAACUCAUUUAUGUUCCUUUCAUGCUCUUGUAUUCAGUCAAAUUCUCCCAACAGCUUGAUGUAACGUUAUUGGCUAAUCACACGCUUGGUCAAGGUUUGAGUUCAAGCUGCAGCGCACUCAGCUUGGAUGAAAAGAAAGCAGAAUCAAAUUCCUUACAAUAUCAUUGGUUAACAUGGGACCUAGACAGAACUAAGCAAUAGAAAGGAAAUACGGAUUAGGAUAAGGAUCAUGUAAAUGGCAAUAACUGCGAGCUGGUUUCUGAGGGAGUUUCAUUUUCAUAUCUAUCUUUUUAGGUGUUCUUUAAUUCAUUUUUUUCUGCAGGUACAUUGAAAAGUCAAGGGUCUCACAACUGAGUGGAGAGAUGCUUUUGACCAUUGAGACAAUUUAUUGAUUAUUAUAUAGCAGAUUUGCAUGUGGGUAUUUGAAUUUCAGCCGAACAAGUUACCUAGUAUACGGGAAGGAGAGAAGGACCCAUGGAAAACCCAGUUUGCUCAACAACCGCCUUGGCUUCAUUAUAAUGUGGAAGUCUCCCCAUACUUUGGAACUUCAGCUUUCUUCAAUAGUAAGUUUUUCUGAAGAAUGCCGUGCUCUGUUUGAUUGCCAGGAAAAUUCAUCGUAUAGAGGAGAAGUUAAAAAGUGACAAUUCCGUUGUGGUUUGGCAAUUCAUUCAGCUUUCUGUAGAUAUUUAAUGGACCACUUCGCUAACUAUACUUUUGAAACAUUCAA